CAAACGCUCCUCUCAGGAUCCUCGGCAGUGGCUUUAAACCAUCUGACCUUACCUGCUUUCUGAGCGAUAUAUCAGGAGCAAAACAACCCCAACCAAAUCCCACUUCUAAAGCAGAGCAGUAAGUCAUCAUGAUUGCCAUAAAAGCUGGCUGCGGCGGCCCAUGUCAGAUAGGUCAUGGAGCUAUAAUUGGAGCCGGAGUAGAAGUAGUAUGCAGCAGCUCUGUCGGCUCAGACAUUGCUCUGCUGUUUCAGAGAACAUGGCUCAUCCAUUAGUAAGGAGCGCAGCGCGAGCCGCGGACACUACUCGGUCGACUUGGAUCAUCAAAUCUUAAAGGAGGGAGAUUAUGCCGCACCUCAGAAAUCUGCAAGCAGCUGCAGCCUUUCAUCAAGCAGCUAAGGAGAGAUGCAUACUCCCAGUUAGUGGAGAUGCACAAAUCAAAGAUUUAUGCAGCUUCAUGGAGUGUGUUCCUGUUUGGCUGUGACACCAUCAUGGAGAGGAAUAUCAGCUAUGCUGCUAUCAACACCUUUGUUUAUAGAUGCUGGAGCUUGGCAUGUUUUUCAGUGUUGUCCUGUUUCUCUGACUAUGACCAACUGGAUGUGCUCUCUUUUAUCCUCUGACAUGGAAGCUGUUUGUUUCCUGGACUGAGCCGCCUGUGGAGCUGAUUGACAAUUGCCUUUUGUAUCUCUGCUUCUUUCUAUGCGUCUGCUUCUAUCUUCUUGAAUCCCAGUCGGUCUCGGCAGAGGGCCGCUCACACUGAGCCUUUUUCUGCUGGAGGUUCCUUCCUGUUAAAACGGAGUUUUCCUCUCCACUGUCACUACAAGUACACUUUGGCUGAGGGACUGAUCUCAAGUCAAUGAGUAGAAGAAAUCAGCAGGUUUCCCUUAGACAGACAACUUUGAACCAAUCUGACUGUAUGAUCUACUUGAAUUCUCUGUAAAUGGCCUUGAGAUGACAUGUGUUGUGAAUUGGUGCUAUAUAACUAAACAUAAUCGAAUUGAAAAUUGAUUCCAGCCUUAAGAAACUACUGCUUAUUUAGACAACAGUAGAGGAGCCCUUAUGCCAGCAGUCACACAGAAAGAAUUCAGCAUUAAAUAGAUGCUCACUUGCUGUAGAUAUAUGGGUUUAGUGGUAAUUUGGAGUUGGAGGGGCACAAUGGCUAAACUGUAACCAACCUUAAAAAAACACAAUAGAAACAAGCUAGAGAAAAAUAAAAUCUGAGGCAUCAGCCACUUGCUAUGAUUCCACAUAAGCUUUUGGUGAUUUUUUUUAUUUUUUAUUUUGCAGACCAUCUUAUCAUUUGGACUUUCUCAACUAUUUUUAAUCCCAAACUUACUGACGGGGCAUAGUCAUAUGAGGGCGUAGGCAGAAAUGCAAAGGGGACCUUCAUUAUUAUUGUAUACUUGCAUGGUACUGGGGUUACAGCUAAAAGCUGAUAAAUUAAAAAAUAAGAUUUAGAACAACAAUGAUGGAAUGAUGCAUCAAUUAAAGGAGUAUGUUUAUGAAAAAAUCUUGACAAUGAGAUUUAAAAAAUCUGAAAAAUCCUUACAAUAAAGGGAUAUUGGCCAUUGAA